CGCUGGCGGCAGGCCUAACACAUGCACGUCGAGCGGAUGAAGGGAGCUUGCUCCUGGAUUCAGCGGCGGACGGGUGAGUAAUGCCUAGGAAUCUGCCUGGUAGUGGGGGAUAACGUCCGGAAACGGGCGCUAAUACCGCAUACGUCCUGAGGGAGAAAGUGGGGGAUCUUCGGACCUCACGCUAUCAGAUGAGCCUAGGUCGGAUUAGCUAGUUGGUGGGGUAAAGGCCUACCAAGGCGACGAUCCGUAACUGGUCUGAGAGGAUGAUCAGUCACACUGGAACUGAGACACGGUCCAGACUCCUACGGGAGGCAGCAGUGGGGAAUAUUGGACAAUGGGCGAAAGCCUGAUCCAGCCAUGCCGCGUGUGUGAAGAAGGUCUUCGGAUUGUAAAGCACUUUAAGUUGGGAGGAAGGGCAGUAAGUUAAUACCUUGCUGUUUUGACGUUACCAACAGAAUAAGCACCGGCUAACUUCGUG
rnacentral:rRNA from 1 species